rnacentral:lncRNA from 1 species
CAAAAUAUUCAUAUCAUAUUCACAGAAACUAUAAGAGAAAAUUAGAGAAGGAAGACACGACCAUGAGAGUCGUAGUUGGCGAAGUUGCUUCUUCAACGACGAGAACACCGGCAUCCAUGGCCUCAUAGUUGCUGAAAAUGGUAACCACAAUAUUAUAAAAACAGUAAAAAUUAUAAAUCAAUCAAUUAAUUAUGUCAUAAAAUACAAACUAAUGGAGACUUAAAAAACCAAUACAAAAUUAAAAUUGAAAAAAAAUAUAGAUCAUCAGAUCUAACAUAGUAUUCUUUGAAAUACAACAUUCCCAUAACUCAUCAUCAUUUCAAAUGUGUGGUCCACAACACGAUGCAUGCUUUCUUAUCUAUAAUAGAUCUGGAAUCAUAAGUUUGUGAUGGCAAUAAAUUGGGCUCAUAUCAUAUUUGUAUUCAAAACCCAAAUAUAUCCAAAAAUCAUGAAUUGCAAACAAGAAUUAAAAUGUAAGAUGAGAAUUAUAAUCGCUUUCAGAUUUUCGAGAAUCGAAUAAAGGAUCCAAACCCCGAAAUAAAAGAAAAGGAAGACGAGAGAAACCAAAUAGGCUUUUUAGAGAGAGAGAGAGACGCGCCCAUAGAACCACAGGCAUGUGUUGCUGGCUUGAGAGAGAAGAAAAAAGAUAGUAAAGAAGAAAGAUAGGAAUGGGAUGCGACGGCUAGUACUUGUCAUUAUUUUUUGGCUAUAACUUGUAUGGGUCAAUUUGUG